rnacentral:rRNA from 4 species
AAUCCAUAGGUUAAUGAGGCGAACCGGGGGAACUGAAACAUCUAAGUACCCCGAGGAAAAGAAAUCAACCGAGAUUCCCCCAGUAGCGGCGAGCGAACGGGGAGGAGCCCAGAGCCUGAAUCAGCAUGUGUGUUAGUGGAAGCGUCUGGAAAGGCGCGCGAUACAGGGUGACAGCCCCGUACACAAAAGCGCAUGUGCUGUGAGCUCGAUGAGUAGGGCGGGACACGUGGUAUCCUGUCUGAAUAUGGGGGGACCAUCCUCCAAGGCUAAAUACUCCUGACUGACCGAUAGUGAACCAGUACCGUGAGGGAAAGGCGAAAAGAACCCCGGCGAGGGGAGUGAAAAAGAACCUGAAACCGUGUACGUACAAGCAGUGGGAGCACCCUUCGGGGUGUGACUGCGUACCUUUUGUAUAAUGGGUCAGCGACUUAUAUUCUGUAGCAAGGUUAACCGUAUAGGGGAGCCGGAGGGAAACCGAGUCUUAAC